CGGAUGCGAUCAUACCAGCACUAAAGCACCGGAUCCCAUCAGAACUCCGAAGUUAAGCGUGCUUGGGCGAGAGUAAUACUAGGAUGGGUGACCUCCUGGGAAGUCCUCGUGUUGCAUCCCUC
rnacentral:rRNA from 1 species